rnacentral:rRNA from 1 species
CACCGCGGUUAUACGAGAGGCCCUAGUUGACAGACACCGGCGUAAGGGUGGUUAAGGAGAGCAAAAAUAAAGCCAAAGGGCCUCUUGGCCGUCAUACGCUUCUGAGUGUCCGAAGCCCAAAAACGAAAGUAGCUUUAAUGCAGCCCACCUGACCCCACGAAAACUGAGAAACAAACUGGGAUUAGAUACCCCACUAUGCUCAGCCGUAAACCUAGACGUUAUACCACAACAAACGUCCGCCAGGGUACUACGAGCGUUAGCUUAAAACCCAAAGGACUUGGCGGUGCCUUAGACCCCCCUAGAGGAGCCUGUUCUCGAACCGAUAACCCCCGUUAAACCUCACCACUUCUAGUCAUUCCCGCCUAUAUACCGCCGUCGUCAGCUUACCCUGUGAAGGACUAAUAGUAAGCUAAGUGGAUACAUUCCAAAACGUCAGGUCGAGGUGUAGCGCACGAAGUGGGAAGAAAUGGGCUACAUUUUCUAAUUUAGAAUAUUACGAACAGUACCCUGAAAAAAUUACUCGAAGGAGGAUUUAGUAGUAAAAAGGAAAUAGAGUGUCCUUUUGAACCCGGCUCUGAGGCGCGUACACACCGCCCGUCACUCUCCCCUGUCACUCAGCAACAAAUGUUCUUAACACCAAAGCACUGACGAGGGGAGGCAAGUCGUAACAUGGUAAGUGUACCGGAAGGUGCACUUGGAUCAAAUACAGGGCGUGGCUGAG